rnacentral:snoRNA from 1 species
UGUGAAUGUUGUAUUUCUUUUGAAACUGAAUCUAAGUUACUUAGCAAAAAUUUGCCACUACCACUGAGACA